rnacentral:rRNA from 1 species
UACGUAGGUGGCAAGCGUUAUCCGGAAUUAUUGGGCGUAAAGCGCGCGUAGGCGGUUUUUUAAGUGUGAUGUGAAAUCCCAAGGCUCAACCGCGGAGGGUCAUUGCCAACUGGCAGACUUGAGUGCAGAAGAGGAAAGUGGAAUUCCUGGUGUAGCGGUGAAAUGCGCUGAGAUAUGGAGGAACACCAAUGGCGAAGGCAUCUUACUGGUCUGUAACUGACGCUGAUGUGCGAAAGCGUGGGUAGCAAACAGG